CAGUCGCCGCGGUAAUACGUAGGGUGCGGGCGUUAAUCGGAAUUACUGGGCGUAAAGCGUGCGCAGGCGGUUCGUUAAGACAGAUGUGAAAUCCCCGGGCUUAACCUGGGAACUGCAUUUGUGACUGGCGAGCUAGAGUAUGGCAGAGGGGGGUAGAAUUCCACGUGUAGCAGUGAAAUGCGUAGAGAUGUGGAGGAAUACCGAUGGCGAAGGCAGCCCCCUGGGCCAAUACUGACGCUCAUGCACGAAAGCGUGGGGAGCAAACAGGAUUAGAUACCCCCGUAGUCCCUGUCUCUUAUAC
rnacentral:rRNA from 1 species